AAGAAAAUCUUGAAAUGGGCGAGGAAAUACUCCCAGUUUAAAAGGGGCCAAUCAAACUUAUGAGCAAAUUUGUCACUGAUUGUCCUAAAGUAAAAACAUAAAAAAACAAAAAUAUUCUUUUAAAAUAGCUAAAAGGGCUAGAGCUUAGAUAUUUAGCAUGAAGAAUCUUCUAGUGAGUGUCUACCAAGUUUGUUCAAAUAAAAGUCCUUGGGUUAAAAGGGAUCUUGAUUUUCCUUAUAGUUAGUACACAUCUUUUGGAACUAUUGUUUUCCCUUAGCAGUAGCAACCAGUAAUGAUUUUACACAUGCACUAUUUCGGAUACAAAUAUGAACAUUGUGGUAUCAGAUAAAGAUUUAGAUUUUAUAUCUGUUUUUGUUAACAAAACUGAUAUUAGGAAAAUCAAGAUCCCUGAGGGCUAGAAAUGAAUUUUUUACUUUAUUAUUUCUGUCGUUUCCUCUAGCAUUAUAUGUCCUUCAUCUUAUCUUUAUUUAUAUUUCUGAAUUUCAACAUUUUGAUCUUAGAUGAGCAAGUUCUGUCUUUAGGCAAGAUAUUUAGGAGAGAUGUUUUGGUGUUUGAUGAGGAGAGAGAUUGCAAUAAAGCUAACAAUCACCAAGGUUACAGCCAGUACAUCAUCUGGCAGCAUGGACGCCUUGGUGCAGGUGUGAGACAUGUUUUGCCAUCCUGUGGGGUUUGGGUCAUCAGGAACAAAUACCCUGAUCCAUUUAGGCAAUAAACUGGUACUGUGCCUUCUCGAUUUGCAUGAGUGAAAUGUAAUAAGGGUAAUAAGCGAGAAUAAGAAGAAUUUCAAUGGCAUGUAGGAAGUGAUCAUGAAAAGCCAGAAGAAAGGACCCUGUGGCCUGGUGAACCCUCCUGCUGUCCAGAAGAUAGACUGCUCAGUGACAAUUAUACCUGCAGACAUUUUCACAAAAAAUCUUAUAACGAUUUAAUUAUCUCAAGUCUUUUGACUUACUAUAAUCGUAAGUGAAAUAUUAAGUCAGUUUCACAAAACCAAUUGCAAGUUAAAAACAAGAACGUGUUUGUUAAACACAAAUGCCCCCGGCUCAGAUUCUUGUCAGUAGAUAUAUUUCAAAAAAUGUUUACCCAUUCACUCAGUUAUGGACAGAAAAAUUGCCAAAAAAUUGUAAACACAAGUUAUAUAGCUUGACAAAGUCAUGGCAUUUUGUAAUUGUGAAAAAUAUAAGUUGCCAAGUCAUUGCUCUGACUUGUGAAGUUGAAAAAUAUUCAACUUCAUGCAAGUUAUCUUCCUACCAAAUAUGAAAUACAUCUGUCAUUAAAUAAAGGCUGUAUGGGCAAAAGUGUAAAAAUCUAUUUUGAGCACUGAUGACCUUGACUCAACUGACCCCUAACUCUAUCCAAAAGAAGAAUACCAUGCAAGUUAUCUUCCUACCAAAUAUAAAAUAUAUCUGUCACUUAAUAAAGGCUGUAUGAGCAAAUGUGUAAAAAUCUAUUUUUAGCACUGGUGACCUUGACCCAACUGACCACUUACUCCAUCAAAGUUUAUGUUUCUAUCAAUUAUAAAUAACAUCUGUCAAUAGAAUAAGGUCAAUACACCUGUAAAAAUGUAAAAAUCUAUUUUUAACAUUGGUGACCUUGACAUUGGUAACAUUGACCUUGACCCAAAUGACCCCUUACUACACCAAAAGGAGGACCUCCCUUGACAUGUUUGUAUUAAACUAAGACAUGAACUAAAAAAUAAAGGCUGUAUGAGCAAAAAUGUUAAUAUUUAUUUAUUAAACCAGUGACCUUGACCCUAGUGACCGCUUACUCCACAAAAAAUUAGAGGACCAUCAAAGGUAUCCACCUACUAAAUAUGAAAGAUAUCAUUAAAGAAAUUAAGCAAUUAGGAGAAAUUUAAGAUAAAUCCAACUUGCCGAAAUAGGUUAACCAGACAAGGCCCUAUUUUCAAAGUGAAAAAAGGGAAAUAACUGGGAAAUAUGGAGGUCCAAAUUUAUCAAUCUUUUCUCCUUCGGCCCUUUUACGUAUAAAUUCAUGAAUAAAAAAUAAUAAAUAAAAAAAUUAAUAAAUGUUUGAAUGAACCUAAUCGGCUAUACAGUAUAAGGAAUGGUGAGAAUGAAGUUUGUAAUAUGUACAGUUACUUCCCUUAUAUUCCAUCACUUAAUUUUUUAUUUCAGUUUGAGUGUGCCGGCAUGGAAAACGAAAAACAGAAACUUCCGUUGAAACUAUGAUGUACAGCCAUGAAAUUUGGACUAUGUGCACAGUUUUAGUUGUAAAAUUGAACUGUGAUAUCAGGGCUAUCUAAUGCCUAGAAUAUGAAAUGCUGGGAAAGCAAUACUGAGCGUAAGUUGACAUGUAUGACCCAAUUUUCUCUCUUGUUGGAUUCUAUAUAUAGACGUCUAUUUUUAACGCUGGUGCGCUUGACCUUGUGAAUCAUCAAUUACAUUCUUUAUACAUGUAUAGACAAUCGUAGAAAUGCUUAUUUACAGGAGCUCCUUAUUUAAGUUAUUAAAAUGUAAGACUUCAUUUAGGGGUUGUUCAUUUAGUUGAGGAGAGGUAUUGAUAGACAUUGAUUUCUUUUGAUAAUAUCAAAAGCCUACUGAAAAAUCUCUUGACCCAUUUUACUGCAUGACUUUUUACUCAUUCAAACAUCCAAAAAAAAAAUUUGAAUGAGCCGCGUCACGACAAAACCAACGUAAUGUGUUUGCGACCAGCAUGGAUCCAGACCAGCUUGCGCAUCCGCGCAGUCUGAUCAGGAUCCAUGCUGUUUGCUUACAAACCCUAUUACAAGUAGAGAAACUGAUAGCGAACAGCAUGGAUCCUGAUCAGACUGCGCGGAGGCGCAGGCUGGCCAUGGCAGGAUCCAUGCUGGUCGCAAACCCAUUAUGUUGGUUUUGUCAUGACACAGCUCAAAUGCUUUAUCUCAAUUAUAAUAACUUGAUGUUUUCUAUUUAAUAAUAGUUGUAAAUAUAACUAUUUUAUUUCAGUAUAAAUGCAGUCAAUGUGUCUGGUGUGAGGAGGGAAACUGCUGAAGUAAAGAAAAAGUGGAUGGACAUGUCCAGUACCACCAAAAAAAAAGGAGGACUCAAGGCUAAGUCAGCUGAGGAUGACAGAUUAGAAUGACAGAUUAGAUUUUAUAUGUUUUUAUUUAUAGUGUAAUAGUUUGCAUCUUAAAUGCAUAUUUAAAUUAAAUUGUUUUUGUUUUUACUUAUGCUGCAUUCAACAAUUGUUAUUUCAUUGGCGCAGCCAUUUUAUCGUUCAUGCCUAAGUUAAUCAGUUACGGAUUCUUUCAUUGGUUAUUUCAUUCUAUUUUAACGCCACAUGCAAAGUAGAAGAAAUUGUGUCAUUAGAAACAGAAUCCUAUGUUUAAUUGUUUAUUUGGUCACAUGAUUUUUGCAUGCUGUAUUUUCUAUAUAAGCUCAUGCAUUUCUUCAUUUUGUUAGCUAGGUGUAUCGGGGUGUUUCAUAUCAAUGCGUAUGUGCAUUAAUAAAAUCAUAAUUAUGUAAAUUGUAAAUAUUUAGAUGAAGGGAAGUAAACCCUGUAAUGAAAGAAUUGCCUCCCUUAGAUUUUGAAAAUAUUUUGAUAUAUAGUAACAAUUGUACAUUAAUUGAAAGUGUAAUAAAUUUCCAUUUUAUAGUAAUCUAUGUCUAUGAUAGUUGAAGAUCUUUUUAAUAUUAAUUCUACAUUUCAGUUUAGUACUAUGGCUCAAGCUAUGUUGAAUGAUACAUCAAUUAGACCACUGUGGCAGAUGGAGGGUAGGGCGUGCCCAGUACAAGGUUGUGAGCCGAACAGAAUUUUUACCAGAUAUGAUUGAUUCUUGGAACACUGGGCAAGAUUCCACCACCCAAUCAUCACCACAUACCAAUGUAUGAUCUGUAACAGAACUUUUCAGAGGGUAACUGACGGGAGGCAACAUUCCCGUCAGUUUGGCCAAAGACACUCUUGUGAACUAAAAAGAGUAGUCAAUGUGAAUUACAGAAGGACGGGUAACAUAUUAAAGUCCUACAGCUGAGGAGAGAAUUGAGUUCCAGCAAAAGGAGAAGGAAAGGAAACUUUUUUCGGAAUGGCAAGGUGAAGCUGAACAAAAUAUCUGUGACAACAAUAGGAUCCACAGCGACUAUUAUUAGAUGUGAUCCUGGGUAUGAGGCAAUUCAAAAGAAAAUCAAUUGCCUAGAAAACGGGACAUCAGAAAAAUCAAGUUGCGAAUUAAAAGAUUUAAGUUGUGUAUCAUUAAGAAAGAGAGAAGGAAGAAAAGAAAGUAAGAGAUCAGGAGGAGAGAAGGAAAGGGAAGACAGAUAUUCUUGGUGGCAUCUUAAGUUUUACUCCUGAGGAGUUAAAUUACCUCGACAACAUUAGGUAAACAGACAUCAGAUACAAUUCAGGAACCCUUGAUAUACAAUUCUCCCAAUAAACAAUAUAUGCACUAGUAGGCUAUAAUCAUUAACUGACAUCUGCUUAACCCUUUCCCUCAUGAGCAUAUUGUGAAAAAUGGCCGUUUUCAUUGAAAAGCCUCCUGUUACAAAUUCAAACUGCUAUGAAACUUUGAAAAAUGUUUUAAUACUAAUCAAACUUUGCACAAAUGUUGACUGGACCAUUGCCUUUGUAACGACAUGCUCAUGCUUAAAUUUCCUGUUACCAUGGCAACAAGGGGACAUCUCAAAGUUGCCAAAAAUCACUUUUUUGCCUUGAUUUUUUCCAUCAAAAUUGAUUUCAAAGUGCUGCAACUUCUCAAUGGAUUGAGAUAGAGUCAAAGGCUUUUCGGGGUUGGUUACACGUUACCUUAUGAUCGAAGUCCAAAAUUUUCUUGGCGAUGAGGGGGACUCCCGCCCCCCUUCAAACCCCCAAAACAGAAGUUCCCCCUUCUGUCAACCCCCUGAUGUAUCUUUUGGAUGGGGGGCGGCGCCAAAAAAGUGCUCACUUUUUUUAGCAACAUUUCUCUUACGAAA